rnacentral:rRNA from 1 species
GGCUCAGGACGAACGCUGGCGGCGUGCUUAACACAUGCAAGUCGAGCGAAGCGCUUAAGUCUGAUUCUUCGGAUGAAGACUUUUGUGACUGAGCGGCGGACGGGUGAGUAACGCGUGGGUAACCUGCCUCAUACAGGGGGAUAACAGUUAGAAAUGACUGCUAAUACCGCGUAAGACCACGGUACCGCAUGGUACAGUGGUAAAAACUCCGGUGGUAUGAGAUGGACCCGCGUCUGAUUAGGUAGUUGGUGGGGUAACGGCCUACCAAGCCGACGAUCAGUAGCCGACCUGAGAGGGUGACCGGCCACAUUGGGACUGAGACACGGCCCAGACUCCUACGGGAGGCAGCAGUAGG